rnacentral:rRNA from 1 species
UACGGAGGGUGCGAGCGUUUAUCCGGAUUCACUGGGUUUAAAGGGUGCGUAGGUGGGUCUGUAAGUCAGUGGUGAAAUCUCCGGGCUUAACCUGGAAACUGCCAUUGAUACUAUAGGUCUUGAAUUUUCUGGAGGUAAGCGGAAUAUGUCAUGUAGCGGUGAAAUGCUUAGAUAUGACAUAGAACACCAAUUGCGAAGGCAGCUUGCUACAGGAAUAUUGACACUGAGGCACGAAAGCGUGGGGAUCAAACAGG